GUAGGUGGCAAGCGUUGUCCGGAAUUAUUGGGCGUAAAGCGCGCGCAGGCGGUUCUUUAAGUCUGAUGUGAAAGCCCACGGCUCAACCGUGGAGGGUCAUUGGAAACUGGAGAACUUGAGUACAGAAGAGGAAAGCGGAGUUCCACGUGUAGCGGUGAAAUGCGUAGAGAUGUGGAGGAACACCAGUGGCGAAGGCGGCUUUCUGGUCUGUAACUGACGCUGAGGCGCGAAAGCGUGGGGAGCAAACAGGGAUUAGAUACCCUGGUAGUCCACGCCGUAAACGAUGAGUGCUAAGUGUUAGGGGGGUUUCCGCCCCCUUAGUGCUGCAGCUAACGCAUUAAGCACUCCGCCUGGGGAGUACGGCCGCAAGGCUG
rnacentral:rRNA from 1 species